rnacentral:rRNA from 1 species
UACGUAGGGUGCGAGCGUUGUCCGGAAUUACUGGGCGUAAAGAGCUCGUAGGUGGUUUGUCGCGUUGUUCGUGAAAACCGGGGGCUUAACCCUCGGCGUGCGGGCGAUACGGGGCAGACUUGAGUACUGCAGGGGAGACUGGAAUUCCUGGUGUAGCGGUGGAAUGCGCAGAUAUCUGGAGGAACACCGGUGGCGAAGGCGGCAUCCUGGACCAACACUGACACUGAGGAGCGAAAGCCAGGGAGCAACAGG